GAAAGAUCUCCCAUGCUCAUGGAUUGGCAGGAUUAAUUUAGUAAAAAUGGCCAUUUUACCAAAAGCAAUCUACAGAUUCAAUGGAAUCCCCAUCAAAAUACCAAUCCAAUUCUUCAAAGAGUUAGACAGAACAAUUUGCAAAUUCAUCUGGAAUAACAAAAAACCCAGGAUAGCUAAAGCUAUCCUCAACAAUAAAAGGACUUCAGGGGGAAUCACUAUCCCUGAACUCAAGCAGUAUUACAGAGCAAUAGUGAUAAAAACUGCAUGGUAUUGGUACAGAGACAGACAGAUAGACCAAUGGAAUAGAAUUGAAGACCCAGAAAUG
rnacentral:lncRNA from 1 species